rnacentral:lncRNA from 1 species
GUCCACUCUGUAGAUCCACUGUUUUUCUCUCUCCGAACUUCUUCACCUCCAAAUCCCAACACCAUCUCUCUCCUAAUUUGAUGCACCACACACUCACUACUACUACUCUUAUUAUUACAAAUACAAGUACGACACCCUCCUCUCAGGCCUCAUGAACUGCUGCUACUGCCGGAACCACCACCACCACCACCACCACCAUUUGUUAAAGAUUAUUAU